rnacentral:rRNA from 1 species
GGGUUGUGAGGUUAAGCGACUAAGCGUACACGGUGGAUGCCCUGGCAGUCAGAGGCGAUGAAGGACGUGCUAAUCUGCGAUAAGCGUCGGUAAGGUGAUAUGAACCGUUAUAAUCGGCGAUUUCCGAAUGGGGAAACCCAGUGUGUUUCGACACACUAUCAUUAACUGAAUCCAUAGGUUAAUGAGGCGAACCGGGGGAACUGAAACAUCUAAGUACCCCGAGGAAAAGAAAUCAACCGAGAUUCCCCCAGUAGCGGCGAGCGAACGGGGAGCAGCCCAGAGCCUGAAUCAGUGUGUGUGUUAGUGGAAGCGUCUGGAAAGGCGCGCGAUACAGGGUGACAGCCCCGUACACAAAAAUGCACAUACUGUGAGCUCGAUGAGUAGGGCGGGACACGUGGUAUCCUGUCUGAAUAUGGGGGGACCAUCCUCCAAGGCUAAAUACUCCUGACUGACCGAUAGUGAACCAGUACCGUGAGGGAAAGGCGAAAAGAACCCCGGCGAGGGGAGUGAAAAAGAACCUGAAACCGUGUACGUACAAGCAGUGGGAGCACGCUUCGGCGUGUGACUGCGUACCUUUUGUAUAAUGGGUCAGCGACUUAUAUUCUGUAGCAAGGUUAACCGAAUAGGGGAGCCGAAGGGAAACCGAGUCUUAACUGGGCGUUAAGUUGCAGGGUAUAGACCCGAAACCCGGUGAUCUAGCCAUGGGCAGGUUGAAGGUUGGGUAACACUAACUGGAGGACCGAACCGACUAAUGUUGAAAAAUUAGCGGAUGACUUGUGGCUGGGGGUGAAAGGCCAAUCAAACCGGGAGAUAGCUGGUUCUCCCCGAAAGCUAUUUAGGUAGCGCCUCGUGAAUUCAUCUCCGGGGGUAGAGCACUGUUUCGGCAAGGGGGUCAUCCCGACUUACCAACCCGAUGCAAACU